AGGCAGCAGUGAGGAAUAUUGGUCAAUGGGCGAAAGYCUGAACCAGCCAAGUAGCGUGAAGGAUGACUGCCCUAUGGGUUGUAAACUUCUUUUAUASGGGAAUAAAAUGAGCCACGUGUGGMUUUUUGUAUGUACCCUAUGAAUAAGGAUCGGCUAACUCCGUGCCAGCAGCCGCGGUAAUACGGAGGAUCCGAGCGUUAUCCGGAUUUAUUGGGUUUAAAGGGAGCGUAGRUGGACAKGUAAGUCAGUUGUGAAAGUUUGCGGCUCAACCGUAAAAUUGCARUUGAUACUGUGUGUCUUGAGUACAGUAGAGGUGGGCGGAAUUCRUGGUGUAGCGGUGAAAUGCUUAGAUAUCACGA
rnacentral:rRNA from 1 species